CCAUUUCUUGGGUUCCCGUUUGCCUAACAAGAUUACAUCUGAACUCCUUAGCAUGAUGUAUAACAGUCAUCAUGAUCUCCCUCCUGAAUUUCUUUUCUUGCACACACCAUUUGCAAAUCACCAGUGUCCUCCCAGGCAUAACAGGCUAAUUAUAAUUUUCCAAACACACUGUGUUUUGUGUGCAACCACUGAGGUAAAAAAUGCUGUCUGCAGGCUUAGAUGCACAGGGAGACUAGGCACCAGUAAUAUUUAGGUAAAUCAAAAAGAUACAAAAAGAAGUCAAGCUGACUGGCAUUCAGGCAGAGAGAUGAACCACUUUCUCCAAGGUGGAUGGAGACGUGAUCUUCCUGGCUGCAAGAUCCUCAACAAGGGGUUGCACAGUAGAAGAUCAUGUUUGAAUAAAUGAGGAUCAUAGCAGAUCUUCUGGAGGUUUAACCACCUUUGCCAAUCCCAGCCUUCCCUACAGGACAUUGGGGAGGUUAUCCCUCUAAGUUUAGAUGUAAACAUGUCAGGAAUUACCUCCCCUGGGCCAAGUGCCCCACAUAAAUCUUGGAGUUAAGCAAGGCAGAUUCCAGAAUAAUAGGCAUGGACCCAAACCUCACAUAUGACUCUUUUGUGCCCCAGGUUAAUGCUGCUUGGCUCAAAAUCAUUUCAGAACUUGGGUUUAUCAUCGAGUCAUCUUUGGGAUCAUGCUAACCAGCUCCUUAGGCCACCUAUAGGGACCAUUCUGCAAGAUGCAAGGGUCCCACCUGGGGGUCUUUGCAUGUCCCCUUGUCUGAUCUGGCCUUUCUCUUUCCAUCUCUACCUGGUGAACUGCUAAUCAUCUCUUAAAACUCAGUAUAGAUGUCACAACCUUGGUAAAAAUAUCUCUGCCCUUUCUUUGUUGUACUUCCAUUGUUUUAUAUCCUCAUUGUCCUGUGUGCACCCCCUCUUGCAGGGCACACUAAUAUUUCUGUCAUUGUCUUUUGCCUGUGUUAUAUUUAUCUUCACAUCCCAAGGACAUAGAUAAUGUCUUAGCAGAUGCUCACACAUGGUUUUCAAAUAAAUGAGUGAAACAAGGAGUGGAGGAAACAAAGGUAACAAACACAGGCAGUCAAAUAUUCACAGCUUGCUUAUAAGAGCUCAUUAGGGAUGUUGUAGAAGUGAAUUUGUUGGUAAAAAUAUUCAAUUUAAAGGUCAAUUUAAAGUAUCUAUAUAUGACAAUGACUCACAGGAUUGAUGUUGGAAAUGAACUAGGUGUAUCAGUCAGUGUCAGUUAACUGCUAUAACAAACAGACCCUCAAAUCUAAUGCUUUGGCCUCAAAGAAGUUUGAUUCUUGCUCAUGCAAAAUGUAAUGAGGGUAUUCUUGAGUGGAUGAUUCUGCUGCAAGAGGUGAAUAAGGGACUAAGCUAUUUCUAUCUUGUGACUGUACCAUCUUGGAAGUUCAAGGCUGCCUUUGUACCAGCCAGCUGUCUGUAGAGAUGGCAAGGAGGGCAUGAAAGUUCACUUAGGUUCAGGGGGCUAAAAAAUGUAGUAGAAAGAAAAUGGGGCGUUCUCAUGACCACUAUCUCUUCUGCACUGGGGAAUUAAAAAAAAAAAAAAAAAAAAAAAGAAAAGAAAAAAAGAAGGCGAGUGUGUAUUUAAAGCAAACAGUAGCUCAAUGGGAAAUAAUAUUUGCAGCUCUAUUUUAUCUAUCUUACAAACUCUAUUUUUAAAAGACCUGUAAAAUCAUAAAAGUCAUGUGGCAUUAUUUUUCAACUUUGUAAAUGAUUGCUUUGCAUUCAUUCAGUUAGACAGGAUAAUUUAACAGCAGUGAUACUAUCAGCAUCAUCAUCACCAUCAUCAUCAUCAUCAUCAUCAUCAUCAUCAUCAUGACUUCACUGAAGGCCUCUUAUGAGAUAUAGGUCACUGCCUCAGGUAAUGGAGUUUCAAGGAGGCAUAAAGUCUUGAGGAUCUUAUCAUCAAGUUGGGAAGUCAGAGUAACUACUUUCAUAAGGUAAAUCAUAAUGAAAGCCUGCACGUGCUUAGUGCUAAAUGAGUGGCAGUGAUAUUAUGGAGAAAUGGGCAUCCCUGAGAUCAAUGUAAUGUACUCUCAGAAAUAUGAGUAUUGCCUACAUCAGAGAAUCAUAGACUACAAAAACCAUGAAGGCCUUUAGGGAUGUAGGCCACCUCCUUCAUUUUACAGGUGAGUAUGGCAGCUUAUUUCUAAAGAUUUCUCCUCCCCUCCUCAUCUUAUGUAGGACCUUCUCCUGAACCUGAGCUGCCCUGUGACUUCCUCCUUACCCAGAAAAUGUGACAGAAGUAAUGUUGUACUAGUUCCAAGUUUAAGAGACCAAGACCUGGCAGUCUCUUAGAAUUCACACUCUAGUGGACAGGCAUUAUGGCUCACACCUGUGAUCCUGGAACUUUGGGAGGCCAAGGCAGGAAGUUUACUUGAGGCCAGGAGUUCAAGACCAGCCUGGUUAACAGCAAAAUCCCAUCUCUACAAAACUUUUUAAACAGUGAGUGAGGUGUAGUGGCAUGGUGGUGCAUGCCUACAGUCCCAGCUGCACUGAAUUAUGAUCCUGCUACUGCACUCCAGCCUGGGUGACAGAGCAAGACCGUAUCUUAGGAAAAAAAAAAGGCAAAAAAGUGUUUAUACUCUGGGGGAAGCUAGCAUCAUGUAAGAAGUCCAUUGUCUCUGAGAUGACCAUGCUCUGAGAAAGCUCAAACUCGUCACACAGAGAGACUUUAUAGUGAGUGGGAUUCCUAGCCAGAUGUUAGACAUUCCAGUUCAGAUGCCAGGCGUGAGAGAGAAGUAGCAGUCUCCGAUGUGCAGGUGAGUGAAUCAUUCUUAUGACCCCAGCUACCGCUUCCACCUGAUUCCAAGCACAUGAGAGAUGCCAGGUGAAAACCUCCCAGCUGAGUCCAGCCAACUCACAGAACCAUGGUUGCUUUAAGCCACUGAGUUUUGGAGCAGUGUGUUACACAGCAGUAGAUAAUCAGAACAAUGAGGAAACUGAGACCACCGAGGCUGAGUUCCCUUAGGGCAUACACUAUUUUAUGCAGAGCCAGGAAGAGAGCCACAUUCUGCAAUUCCCAAUCCAGUGUACUUGAGUCCAGGGCUUGUCAAAUCUUAGUAGGCACCAGAACCACCUGGGGAAGUUGCUGAACACUCAGGUUCCUGGGCUCCACCCUCAGAUAUUCUGAUUAAUAGGUCUGAGGUGGGAGUCUGAGAAUUUAUAUCUCUAACAAGCUCCAAGGUGAUGUUGAUGCUGUCAAUCGGUUGACUAAUUUUGAGUAGCCCUGCCUUACACCAGGCCUGAGCUAAUCUCCCAGCACAGGUUAGGCAAACAUUGGCAUCUGCUGGUUUACUAUUGUGCUUCUUGACAAUUACCUGUUUGCUGCAUUUCCAGGUAAGUAAUUGAAAAGCACAAAGUGACAGGUAUUGUUCAGGAUGUGCCCAGUUGCAGCUGAGCCCAAUUUUAGCUCUUCCAGCUGUAGGCUGAAGAAACCCAUAUGGUCUGUGAGCUAGACACCCUUAUCGGAGUUCUCCUAUCUGUAGGUAUGACAGUGCGGGUUUCAUAACCUUGUUACCAGAAGCAGUUAGGGUCAUCAUCCAGAUUUUCAGAUCCAUUUCCCAUAGAGACACACAUUAGGAAUCUCCCACAGUGAAUUUAAUUAGCAGGAAACAUAGCUCAGCCAGCGACCCACAGUGCAGAUAACAGCCGUGGCUGCCCAGUGAUAGUGGCUCCCUUUUCUUAAAAAAUGACAGGUUUCCUAAAAGGUGGUGAUGAGUCCCAGCCUGAGAUUCUUCAGGUAGGAAUCUCUGUGCAGCCUGAUUUCACGUAACCAAGCAACUCACGCAUCUUCCUUCUAUUCAAUUUAAAGAACUUCCGUAGGAAGAGAUGUGAGUGAGGAAGGAUAACGGAUUGCAAAUGGCAGCAUUAGGCAUUUCCCCAGUGUACCUGGGCUUAUUUUGGCCAGUGGUGUGUUUCUGCAGAUGUUCUGCAUGUGAUACAGUAAUCAUAUUUACUUCUGGAAUUGUUACUGAAGGUUAUUUAAUGAGUAAUGUAGGAUAUCUAAUAGCCCACAUUAAUGGCAGGGAAGCUAUGAAUUUGCUUUAGUUUAUCUCUGCAUAAAAAGCCAUAGGAUUAGUCUGCUUGCAUUGUGUGCUGGAGUUUAAAGAUGACCUUGUUAAGCAUUAAUGAAAGUCGUAGGCAAACAUUUGUCAAGCAUCAGUGGAUGAAUAGACCCCUCUUAUGCAGAAUAUUCAUGCCGUCCAUUACAAUAACUAUUAGAUAUAAUGUGAGGAAUUGAUCGAAUAUGCUGCUUGUAAUAUAAUCCUAUAUGAGGAUUAAUGAUUAUAUUAAGUACCAGAUGCUAUAAUUUGGCAUUGACUACAGUUAUUGGUAAACCGACAAUUUUUCAUAUCCCCAGUGUUUCUGGUUUGGACUAAUUGAUGGAUGUUCAAAAUUUAGCCAGAGCUUUUACAUUAAUGGGGCCCUGUGACUUAGGGCAGGUGAUCAAGGCAAUGUAACCUGGACUUCUGAGGAGUUAGUUAUGAAAGGAGCGAGCUCCUGGGUCAGUUAGUGAAUGCCUCUUAUUUUUAAUUGUGAUACCGGUUCCUACUACCACAAGCAGCAAUAUUUGAAGAAGCUCACCCCUUAUAUUCAUCGUCGCCAAGGUAAAACAGUAUUAUUUUUAAGUCUCAGUGACUCUCACUAUUAAAAAUCACAGCUAUUUGUUUAUUGACAUUUAUCUGAUCACUACUGAAAAGACUUUUUUUCCUUGUGUUCAUAGGGUUUUUGCUUCUCUUUCUCUUUUUCUAGUCUGUUUAUGAAUGUUAACCAAUUUUUCAUUGAUAUUUUUGCCUUCCCUUUUUAUUGAUUGGAAAGAAGUUGUAUAUGCAAGAUUGCUGAGCCUGGGCCACUGAGUGACAUCAGUAGCACAAGUAUUGAGGGUACUCAGGAGUAUCAGAAGCCAUGUGGCCAGGCAAGUUGAUUAGAUAAAGGGGGUUGGGGAGCAAAGGUGGGUUUCUGUGAACCCCACUUAAGAGUUUGCAUGGGGGUGGGAGUGGUAAAUGAAAAAUAUUUACCAAAGUAGGACUAGCAAGCAACUCUCUAAAUAAGUUGAAGUUUUUGGUAAUGUAUUGCUUUAAUUUACAUUCACUUUAUAGUCCAUGCACAUGAGGAUUAUUUGGAAGAGGUUUAAUUUUACUAGCUGCUGAAUGCAGUACGGUUGCUAGCAACAGAGCAGAAAGAGCUUGGCUGUUUGCUAAUGCACUUGGGCUGUACUGUAACUACGCAAGGCAGGGCUAGUGGCGGUGGAGUCAAUAAACAUGCAGUUCUCUGGCUUUGAGGGUUAUUUGUUUUACUGAGCCAAUAUGUUUUUUCUAGUUAACAUUUUUCUGUAGUGUUCUGUUUUCGCCUAUGUUUGAAAGGCUUGUAAAUACAGCUUGAAGGUGCUGGGGAAGGAAAAGGUAUUGCCAACUUCAUCUUGGUGGAUUAAAUUCACUGUAUCUGCUUCUUUCCCCAUGAAACCCAAACAUGCUGAGCUUGCAUGUGUUUUGAGAUAUGGCAGAACUGAGCUUAAAACCUGAGCUUUUUCAGGUGUGAGGGCCCUUAUCUUUAGUAGGCCCCAAAUAACUCUUAAAAUGGCCAGAAAAUCUGAUUUCUUAUUAUGACCUACCCCAAUUUUUGUCACAUGUUUUAUGUUUGGAGUCACAUAAAUAUUCUGGCCAUUUUAAUCAGUGAAAAAACUAUAUUUGGUUGAGAGUUUAGUUUGUUACUACUGGGAAAUUUGAUUUAUCUGUUUUAAGAAACCAUCUGGAGUAAGUUUAUUCAUAUUACGUGUCAUGCAUAUAUUUAUGCUGCAAGAUCAAAAUCCUUAAAUUACAUCCUUUUGAAAUUUUAUACAUUGUAUAAUGACAAUUGCCAACACCACAACGAUGUGAUUGCAUGGCUUUCAAAAACGGAAACAUUGUACAACAAAAAGAUUACAACGUGUAAUGAACAAGUUCAUUUGCUCAAAUAUAAAUGUGUGGUGAAUAAUGAAAUGCAUGCACAAUGAGCCGAGAUGAAUCUUCUGUCAUUAAAAAUACAAUUACAGUGUAUUGAAAUUUCCAAAGUCUAACAAAAGUAAAUAGAUAUAUUGUUAUGCAGCCAAAACCAGAUUCAAUUCAUUUGUGAAAGUUUUCCUUAAUUAUGCCAUAAAUAUAUCAAGUAACUUAUACUUAAUAAGGACUAUGCAAAAAUAUUGAUAAUUUGUAUGUGUGCACAUGUGUAUUUUUUUUCAAUCAAAGGAGUGGUGUUUAUCUGAACCUGCUCUGUGUGUAAUUUAAAGUCUUCCCAGGUAGGCUUUAUUCUCCUGCUAUUGUCACUUGACCUCACACCUUCGUAUCUUUCUGAGAGCACCAUUGCCUUCCUUUAUGCCUUACUCUCUUUCUAGCAAAAUCAUUUUGCAGGAAGAGAUCUGAGGAAUACAGUCAUGCAAAAGGAUGACCUAAUGGAAUGCCAAGUUGGCAUGCACAUGGCAUGGCAGAUCCCUCCUGACAUUGUGCUCAUACCAGCAUGAAUUGGAAUACCAAGGUUGCCCACUUACUAUCUAACCUAAGCUAAAGCAAAAGUGAAAAAUCAGGAGUUUACAUUUUCUACAAAACAUUUCUCUUGUAUGCGGUUUUAGCUGUCAAGCUUGUGAAACUGUUAUUGUGACUGUAGUGGAGUCUAUUUAUGUUUAAUGCUAGCGUCUAAUGUAGAAAAGUGUGCACACAUCGAAAACGACUCUCUGGAACUCAGCAUAUAGGUCUGUCUGUAUUGAAAAUCUUUCCACCAGACAGCCAGAAAAAAAGCCCUGCAAAUUUAGAAGCAAACUAUAAAAAUGCAAGCAGCUGGCUGGAGCACAGUAAGGCUCAACAGAGGGACCUCAUGAAACCAACAAUGGUAAUCGUUAUUUAAAGAAACUGGCUUAUUCUAAACAGCAUAUUGCAUUUGAAUGCUUUCUAGAUGGCCAAAUUAGUACGGACAUAACAAGAUCCUAGAAAUUAGCUUUCUGGUAGGUUUCAAUGUGGAGAUUAUUUAUGCUGAUCCAUCGUUUUGUAUCUCCCAUCCAGAAUGCUUUUUAUCCAAUUGGCUUUAAAAAA